rnacentral:rRNA from 1 species
AGUGAACGCUGGCGGUAGGCCUAACACAUGCAAGUCGAACGGCAGCACAGUAAGAGCUUGCUCUUACGGGUGGCGAGUGGCGGACGGGUGAGGAAUACAUCGGAAUCUACUUUUUCGUGGGGGAUAACGUAGGGAAACUUACGCUAAUACCGCAUACGACCUACGGGUGAAAGCAGGGGAUCUUCGGACCUUGCGCGAUUGAAUGAGCCGAUGUCGGAUUAGCUAGUUGGCGGGGUAAAGGCCCACCAAGGCGACGAUCCGUAGCUGGUCUGAGAGGAUGAUCAGCCACACGGGAACGGAAACACGGUCCAGACUCCUACGGGAGGCAGCAGUGGGGAAUAUUGGACAAUGGGCGCAAGCCUGAUCCAGCCAUACCGCGUGGGUGAAGAAGGCCUUCGGGUUGUAAAGCCCUUUUGUUGGGAAAGAAAAGCAGCAGGUUAAUACCCCGCUGUUCUGACGGUACCCAAAGAAUAAGCACCGGCUAACUUCGUG